rnacentral:rRNA from 1 species
GGCAAGCGUUGUCCGGAUUUAUUGGGUUUAAAGGGUGCGUAGGUGGUUUAAUAAGUCAGUGGUGAAAGCUGGUUGCUCAACAAUCAAGUUGCCAUUGAUACUGUUAGACUUGAGAGAAGUGGAGGCUGGUGGAAUGGAUGGUGUAGCGGUGAAAUGCAUAGAUAUCAUCCAGAACGUCAAUUGCGAAGGCAGCUGGCUGUACUUUUUCUGACACUGAGGCACGAAAGUGUGGGGAUCAAACAGGAUUAGAUACCCUGGUAGUCCACGCCGUAAACGAUGAUAACUAGCUGUCCGGGCACUUGGUGUCUGGGUGGCGCAGCUAACGCAUUAAGUUAUCCGCCUGGGGAGUACGGUCGCAAGAUUAAAACUCAAAGGAAUUGACGGGGACCCGCACAAGCGGUGGAUGAUGUGGUUUAAUUCGAUGCAACGCGAAAAACCUUACCUGCUCUUGACAUGUACGGAAGAUUUCAGAGAUGAGAUUGUGCCUUCGGGAACCGUAACACAGGUGCUGCAUGGCUGUCGUCAGCUCGUGUCGUGAGAUGUUCUGUUAAGUCAGGCAACGAGCGCAACCCACGCCUCUAGUUACCAGCGGGUAAAGCCGGGGACUCUAGAGGGACAAACCCGUAAGGGUGGGAAGGUGUGGAUGACGUCAAGUCAGUAUGGCCCUUACAUCCGGGGCUGCACACGUGCUACAAUGCCUGGUACAAAGCGACCCGAAUCCGCGAGGAGGAGGAAACCGCUAAAGCCAGGCCCAGUUCAGAUUGGAGUCUGCAACUCGACUCCAUGAAGUCGGAAUCGCUAGUAAUCGCGGAUCAGCUUGCCGCGGUGAAUACGUUCCCGGGUCUUGUACACACCGCCCGUCACACCAUGGGAGCGGGUUCUGCCAGAAGUAGUUAGCCUAACCGCAAGGAGGGCGAUUACCACGGCAGGGUUCGUGACUGGGGUGAAGUCGUAACAAGGUAGCCGUAUCGGAAGGUGCGGCUG